rnacentral:miRNA from 1 species
UGGGCGCAGAAUCCCGACU